AGGUGCGAUCAUACCACCACUAAUGCGUCGUAUCCCAUAGAACUCCGCAGUUAAGCGUGCUUGGACGAGAGUAGUACUAGAUUUGUUGACUUCCAGAGAAGUCUUUGUGGGAGAUGUCUU
rnacentral:rRNA from 1 species